AACGGUCUAUACCUGCGGUACCUGCGGAAGGAUCAUUAAUGAGAAGCUGCCCCUCGUGGGUAGACCUCCCACCCUCUGUGAACUUACCUUUGUUGCUUUGGCAGGCCCGUCCUCUGGACCGCCGGCUUCGGCUGGCCCGUGCCUGCCAGAGGAUUCCAAACCCUGUCUGUCAGUGUUGUCUGAGUCUAUAUGAAAUCGUUAAAACUUUCAGCAACGGAUCUCUAGAUCGGAAGAGCACAC
rnacentral:misc_RNA from 1 species